AAAGCUUGAAAGCUAAUAUUCCAUGGAUGUUAGAUCCCACAGUUUGUGUGGCACUAGACAAUUUUGUAUCCUACAUAUACAUUCAGAUUAUUAUUAUUAUAGGUUUCUACUAACUUCUACCUGUUAGUACAUAUAUUGUUAGUACAUAUAUGAUAUAUGAUAUAACCUUAACAAUAUAUGACAAAUAAUUUCACAGUACAUCUACUAUCGAUACUUUUCCGGCAGAGAAGCGAGAAGUGAUGAUGAAGAAUAUCAUAGUGACAUACUAGAGCAGUGCUGCAGUUUGCAGGAUGGUUGUUGCAGAUGGUGUUUCUGAACAAAUGAAUCUACCAGAAGUUUCAGAACAAGUGUAUCUACCAGAAGCAGAAUUUGUCUCAUAAACAAGGUUUGCUUUUUUGUCUCCAUGGAGGCUCUAAAUGCUUUAAAGUUGCCAGUGAAGGUUAAGGCAGGUUUUCUCGGAUCAGUGAAACUUAAGGUUGAUGGAACAUUUUCUUUCUCAGAAACUUAGGAGUAUAUUGUAUUGAAUCUGGUUAGAUAUAGCUGAAUGAUCACUAUUCCGUUGUUUCUUCUUUUGAGUGGGUAUACUUAUC